rnacentral:misc_RNA from 1 species
GUAGGAUGUGCGGGCGGAGGGGGCCGUGUUCGAGCUGCUGGGGGCACUCACGGAAGAGGAGGAUAUGAACCCAUGGAUGGUGAUGUUAUUCUGUCUCUUGGGCCUCUUUGGCAUGGGUUUCGUCAUCUGGCUCGCAGUUUACAUUUAUCUCAAGAACUGCAACUAGUGAAGACUCCAUCUCUCUCUCACUCACGCUCUGGCACUUCCUGAAAUGGUGGUAGUGGACUAACUGCAACUGGGCUGGUAGUGCUACUACUAGCCAUCAUAGGUAUAGGUGUUGGACUAUAUUAUGCCUAUAUAUGCCUUAGAGCUCGACCACUCCGUCCCCGACAGCCCGCAGACUCAGAACACGGC